AUGCCGGAUGAGAUCUUUUGGCACGGCACCCAAUGCGCCGAUCAUAAUAAUAAUAAUAAAGAAUACACACAAAGGGUCAGAAAAAUUCUCAAAAGCAAGCUCAAUGGAGGCAACACCAUCAAGGCCAUAAACACCUGGGCCGUACCUGUCAUAAGAUAUACUGCUGGCAUUAUAAAUUGGACACAGAUGGAACUGGACAAUUUGGACAGAAAAACAAGAAAACUCAUGACCAUUCAUCAUUCUCUGCACCCUCGCAGUGAUGUUGACCGGCUAUAUCUGCCUAGAAGAUCAGGGGGCAGAGGACUCUUACAAGUAAAACAAGCAGUCAAAGAAGAAGAACAUGCCCUGGCAGAAGAUGUCAAGCAAAGUGAAGAACCUGCUUUGAUUGAAGUCAAAAAUCAGAAACUCCUCAAAGCACAGCAGACAAAGAAUCAGUACAAGAAAACCACACUACAAACUAGAGCUGACAGCUGGCACAACAAAACAUUGCAUGGAAAGUUCCUUGACAAAAUUGAAGGAAAAGCUGAUAAGGAGAAGACCUGGCUCUGGCUCACGAAUGGGACCCUGAAGAAGGAGACAGAAGGCCUGAUCCUUGCAGCCCAGGAGCAAGCCAUCAGAACAAAUACAAUCAAGGCCAAGAUCGAAAAAUCAGCUGAUGACCCAAAAUGCAGACUGUGCAAGGAAACUGACGAAACCAUUGAUCAUAUCCUCAGCUGCUGUAAGAAAAUGGCACAGACAGACUACAAACAGAGGCACAACUAUGUGGCCCAAAUGAUUCAUUGGAACUUAUGCCUCAAGUACCACCUCCCAGCAGCAAAGAACUGGUGGGAUCACAAACCUGCAAAAGUAUUGGAAAAAGAACAUGCAAAGAUACUGUGGGACUUCCGAAUCCAGACUGACAAAGUUCUGGAACACAACACACCAGACACCACAGUUGUGGAGAAGAAAAAGGUUUGGAUCAUUGAUGUCGCCAUCCCAGGUGACAGUCGCAUUGACGAAAAACAACAGGAAAAACUCAGUCACUAUCAGGACCUCAAGAUCGAACUGCAAAGACUCUGGCAGAAACCAGUGCAGGUGGUCCCGGUGGUGAUGGGCACACUGGGUGCCGUGCCAAAAGAUCUCAGCCGGCAUUUGGAAACCAUAGACAUUGACAAAAUCACGAUCUGCCAACUGCAAAAGGCCACCCUGCUGGGAUCUGCGUGCAUCAUCCGAAAAUACAUCACACAGUCCUAG
rnacentral:lncRNA from 1 species